CAGCCGCCGCGGGAAUACGAGGGGGGCUAGCGUUGUUCGGAUUUACUGGGCGUAAAGGGCGCGUAGGCGGACUGAUAAGUCAGGGGUGAAAUCCCAAGGCUCAACCUUGGAACUGCCUUUGAUACUGUUUGUCUUGAGUUCGAGAGAGGUAAGUGGAACUGCGAGUGUAGAGGUGAAAUUCGUAGAUAUUCGCAAGAACACCAGUGGCGAAGGCGGCUUACUGGCUCGAAACUGACGCUGAGGCGCGAAAGCGUGGGGAGCAAACAGGAUUAGAUACCCCGGUAGUCCCUGUCUCUUAUAC
rnacentral:rRNA from 1 species